CAAAGAUCCUAGAGGGACAAGAUAGACCACUCCUCGAAAAACGCGUAGUAUGACGUGUGUGACCGUCGACGCCAUAUUGUUAAGCAUUUAUUGGGCUGUAAUGGCGUCCUCAGCUAAAUCUACAUCUCACUGCUCCGCUAUCAACUGUUCUAAUCGUAAAUCUAAACGACCAGAGCUGUCAUUCUUUAGGUUCCCCAAUAAAAAAGAAAGAUGUCGACAUUGGACAUGAUCUACACCGAACUGCGGAGUAUUUGUGAAAUAACUGCCCUCUUAUGUACAUUGUGUGAAAUUGUGAUUUGCUAACUGCACAAAUAUAAUGCGAAUGGCGAUUUAUUUAUUAUUGUAUCUAUGUUGGACAUUUUGCUGUUUGGUGAAGCAGGGGUGGGGCUAUCAUUGUGUUACAUACGUUAAAUUGUACAUCACUUUCACUGGUUAGCUGAUAUGCUGAACUGCAACCCUGUAUAACUCGCGCACAGAAUAAUGUGAAUUGUGUAAAUCUUAUCCCAACGGGUCUCACUUAGUCUAUUGAUUGUGUAUAAGCUGCAAAUUUUGUCCUUUGUUUGAAAUGUGUAGAAUGUGACAUCACUUUUAUUGAUUAUCUGAUAUUCUAAAUUCUGCAAAUUCUGCAAGUCUGUAUAUGUCGUGCACAAAAUGAUGUAAAUAAAAAUUGUUUU